rnacentral:rRNA from 1 species
AGUGAACGCUGGCGGCGUGCCUAAUACAUGCAAGUCGAACGGAGUGGCGCACGGGGGAGUAAUGUAUAGAUAAUCUGCCCGACAAUAGAGGACAACAGUUGGGAAAGACUGUUAAUACUCUAUAGUGUAGGUUGAGGCUAUAUUGUCUCAGCUAGUUGGUGAGGUAAUGGCUCACUAAGGCUAUGACGCAUAACUGGUCUGUGAGGAUGAUGAGUCACAACCGAACGGAGACACGGUCCAGAAUCCUACGGGAAGGAGCAGUAGGGAAUAUUGCUAAAUGGGGGUAACCCUGAAGCGGCAACGCCGCGUGGAGGAUGACACUUUGCGGAGCGUAAACUCGUUUUUAUAUGUAAGCGGUACCUAACGAAUAAGCACCGGCUAACUCCGUGCCAGCAGCCGCGGUAAUUC